rnacentral:rRNA from 1 species
UACGUAGGGUGCGAGCGUUGUCCGGAUUUAUUGGGCGUAAAGAGCUCGUAGGCGGUUUGUCGCGUCGGCUGUGAAAACUCGGGGCUCAACCCCGAGCCUGCAGUCGAUACGGGCAGACUAGAGUGCUGUAGGGGAGACUGGAAUUCCUGGUGUAGCGGUGAAAUGCGCAGAUAUCAGGAGGAACACCGGUGGCGAAGGCGGGUCUCUGGGCAGUAACUGACGCUGAGGAGCGAAAGCGUGGGGAGCAAACAGG